AGUAACUUUUAAUAAUAAGUAGUGUACACAAAGUGAAUGUGUAUUUUAAUUCUAUAUACAUUUAAAAACAAACAACAAUUAAAAAUCUAAUAUAGAUAUUUUGUUUUAAUUAUUAAUUAAAGGAGUUUACUCGUUAAGAACGAUUGUUUUGGAACAGGUACAGGAAAAAGACUUACUAGAUUAAAAAAAAAAAACCGAUAUCAUAUUGGAGACGUUUUAAAAAAUUCUACUUUAAAUGAAUAGUAACAACAUUUGUGAUUUGAGAUAAUCGAUUGGAAAGGAUUAAUAAAAAGAACUCAAUAAAAAAUUAAACUACCAGAGAGCGCGAGUGAUUUUAAAUGUAUAUACAAUAAUCUAAAUCUACCCAAUAUGUCAAAAUAGUUCACGAGUAAUGACCACAUGGUGUGUAUUAGAUUUCAAAGAUGACAGUGGAUAAUUUAAUAAAAUUGGUUUACUUUUUGGAUUUCUAAUACUCGUAAGUGGUGCACGAGAAUAUAAGAAAAAAGAUUUAAUCGCUCUGAGGGAAGAGG
rnacentral:misc_RNA from 1 species